GGCUUUGUGGCUCAGUGGUAGUGCAUUCACCUAGCAAGUGAGAGGCCCUGGGUUCCAUCCUCAGCACCA
rnacentral:tRNA from 1 species